AUACCAUCGGUUGUAUGACCGUGUCCAAUGCUAAAAAGUGGUUUGAAGAUGUACUGACGACCUCAACUUGGCUCGCUAAUGAUGUAAGUUUUUUGAGUUUCCGUUUAUUAUAUUUAUAGAAGUUGUUGGUUCAUUUACUUAAAUGACUCUAUCUUUUUUGUUGGUGUUUUUUUGUUUCAGCAUAUCGACUUGGCUAUGGAAUUGUUACGCGAUCAGGCGCAGAGAUACCCGAGAUCUUAUGACAGUCCUAGUCGAGUUAUCCUGAGCUCUGAGUUCGUUCGUGUCGUAGAUAUUGAGCAUCACGAGCUCCUAAGCAAGGGGAAUGAUUAUGUUCUGUCUGAGUACAUGCUGGAGUGGGUGAUUGGACUACAGUUGAGGUGCGGAAAGUCGUGGACGGAUUGUACACAUAUGUACAUUCCAGUGAUCGCGAACUCACACUGUUUUUUGAUGGAGAUCGUAUUUGCAGAUUCCACCAUAUACGUGUACGACUCUGAUCAUAGCUGUCUGACACAAAGUCAACUUGAGUAAAUACUGGAGCCAUUGGCUGUGAUCGUGCCCAUGAUGGCUAGUCAUGCGAUGAUUCGAGUAAAUGAUAGAUUAGUCAUUGUGCGGAACAUGACGACGACGAGACAAGA
rnacentral:lncRNA from 1 species